GACGAACGCUGGCGGCGUGCUUAACACAUGCAAGUCGAACGGAAAGGCCCUGCUUUUGUGGGGUGCUCGAGUGGCGAACGGGUGAGUAACACGUGAGUAACCUGCCCUUGACUUUGGGAUAACUUCAGGAAACGGGGGCUAAUACCGGAUAGGAGCUCCUGCUGCAGGGUGGGGGUUGGAAAGUUUCGGCGGUUGGGGAUGGACGCGCGGCUUAUCAGCUUGUUGGUGGGGUAGGGGCUUACCAAGGCUUUGACGGGUAGGCGGCCCGAGAGGGUGACCGGCCACAUUGGGCCUGAGAUACGGACCAGACUCCUACGGGAGGCAGCAGUGGGGAGUAUUGCACAAUGGGACGACGCCUGAUGAAGCAACGCCGCGUGCGGGAUGACGGUCUUCGGGUUGUAAACCGCUUUCGCCUGUGACGAAGCGUGAGUGACGGUAAUGGGUAAAGAAGCACCGGCUAACUACGUG
rnacentral:rRNA from 1 species